GAUGAAGAACGUAGUGAAACGCGAUAUGUAAUGUGAAUUGCAGAAUUCAGUGAAUCAUCGAAUCUUUGAACGCACAUGGCGCCUUCCAGUAUCCUGGGAGGCAUGCCUGUCCGAGCGUCGUUUCAACCCUCGAGCCCCCGUGGCCCGGCGUUGGGGAUCUGCCACGGCAGGCCCCUAAAACCAGUGGCGGACCCGAAGGCCCUCUCCUUUGCGCAGUAGCAUCAGCCUCGCAUUGGGAUCCCUCGGCGUCCUGCCUCUAAACCCCCCACAAGUCCGCUCCGGCGGCACCAAGGUUGACCUCGGAUCAGGUAGGAAUACCCGCUGAACUUAAGCAUAUCAAUAAGCGGAGGA
rnacentral:misc_RNA from 1 species